GGUUUAAUUCGAAGCAACGCGAAGUAACCUUACCAGAUCUUGACAUCCAAUUGACCAUCUUUUAAUCGAGAUUUUGCCUUCGGGUACAAUUGAGACAGGUGGUGCAUGGUUGUCGUCAGCUCGUGUCGUGAGAUGUUGGGUUAAGUCCCGCAACGAGCGCAACCCCUUGUGUUUAGUUGCAAACAGGUCAAGCUGUGCACUCUAGACAGACUGCCGUGGACAACACGGAGGAAGGUGGGGAUGACGUCAAAUCAUCAUGCCCCUUAUGAUCUGGGCUACACACGUGCUACAAUGGCCGGUACAACGGGCAGCGAAGGAGCGAUCCGGAGCGAAUCCUAAAAAAGCCGGUCCCAGUUCGGAUUGCAGGCUGAAACUCGCCUACAUGAAGUUGGAGUUGCUAGUAAUCGCGAAUCAGAAUGUCGCGGUGAAUGCGUUCCCGGGUCUU
rnacentral:rRNA from 1 species